rnacentral:rRNA from 1 species
AUUCCAGCUCCAAUAGCGUAUAUUAAAGUUGUUGUGGUUAAAAAGCUCGUAGUUGGAUCUCGGCGGUCUGAGGGCGGUUCGCUUCAGAGCGCUACUGCCCUAUAGACCGUAGUUUUGCCAGAGGUCUCAGGGUGCUCUUAACCGAGUGUCUUGCGAUGCUGGCAGGUUUACUUUGAAAAAAUUAGAGUGCUCAAAGCAGGCUUUUACGCCUGAAUAUUCGUGCAUGGAAUAAUAGAAUAGGAAGUCGUUUCUAUUUUGUUGGUUUUCGGAAAUCCACUUAAUGAUUAAUAGGGACAGUUGGGGGUAUCCGUAUUUCGUAGUCAGAGGUGAAAUUCUUGGAUUUACGAAAGACGAACUACUGCGAAAGCAUUUACCAAGGAUGUUUUCAUCG